rnacentral:rRNA from 1 species
GACGAACGCUGGCGGCGUGCUUAACACAUGCAAGUCGAACGGAAAGGCCCUGCUUUUGUGGGGUGCUCGAGUGGCGAACGGGUGAGUAACACGUGAGUAACCUGCCCUUGACUUUGGGAUAACUUCAGGAAACUGGGGCUAAUACCGGAUAGGAGCUCCUGCUGCAUGGUGGGGGUUGGAAAGUUUCGGCGGUUGGGGAUGGACUCGCGGCUUAUCAGCUUGUUGGUGGGGUAGUGGCUUACCAAGGCUUUGACGGGUAGCCGGCCUGAGAGGGUGACCGGCCACAUUGGGACUGAGAUACGGCCCAGACUCCUACGGGAGGCAGCAGUGGGGAAUAUUGCACAAUGGGCGGAAGCCUGAUACAGCAACGCCGCGUGCGGGAUGACGGCCUUCGGGUUGCAAACCGCUUUCGCCUGUGACGAAGCGUGAGUGACGGUAAUGGGUAAAGAAGCACCGGCUAACUACGUG